GACGAACGCUGGCGGCGUGCUUAACACAUGCAAGUCGAACGGUGACGAGGAGCUUGCUCCUCUGAUCAGUGGCGAACGGGUGAGUAACACGUGAGUAACCUGCCCCAGACUCUGGGAUAACAGUUGGAAACAGCUGCUAAUACCGGAUACGAGACGGAGAGGCAUCUCUACCGUCUGGAAAGUUUUUCGGUCUGGGAUGGACUCGCGGCCUAUCAGCUUGUUGGUGAGGUAAUGGCUCACCAAGGCGACGACGGGUAGCCGGCCUGAGAGGGCGACCGGCCACACUGGGACUGAGACACGGCCCAGACUCCUACGGGAGGCAGCAGUGGGGAAUAUUGCACAAUGGGCGAAAGCCUGAUGCAGCGACGCCGCGUGAGGGAUGACGGCCUUCGGUUGUAAACCGUCUUUCUAGCAGGAAGAAG
rnacentral:rRNA from 1 species